AUUGAGCGCUGGCGGCAUGCUUUACACAUGCAAGUCGAACGGUAACAGGCCGCAAGGUGCUGACGAGUGGCGAACGGGUGCGUAAUGCAUCGGAACGUGCCCAGUCGUGGGGGAUAACUACUCGAAAGAGUAGCUAAUACCGCAUACGAUCUAUGGAUGAAAGCGGGGGACCGUAAGGCCUCGCGCGAUUGGAGCGGCCGAUGUCAGAUUAGGUAGUUGGUGGGGUAAAGGCUCACCAAGCCAACGAUCUGUAGCUGGUCUGAGAGGACGACCAGCCACACUGGGACUGAGACACGGCCCAGACUCCUACGGGAGGCAGCAGUGGGGAAUUUUGGACAAUGGGCGCAAGCCUGAUCCAGCAAUGCCGCGUGCAGGAAGAAGGCCUUCGGGUUGUAAACUGCUUUUGUACGGAACGAAACGGCUCUGGUUAAUACCCGGGGCUAAUGACGGUACCGUAAGAAUAAGCACCGGCUAACUACGUG
rnacentral:rRNA from 1 species